rnacentral:rRNA from 1 species
GCACGGAGUUAGCCGAUCCUUAUUCUUACAGUACCGUCAAGUUCCUACACGUAGGAGUGUUUCUUCCUGUACAAAAGCAGUUUACAAUCCAUAGGACCGUCUUCCUGCACGCGGCAUGGCUGGUUCAGUCUUGCGACCAUUGACCAAUAUUCCUCA